UACGUAGGGAGCAAGCGUUGUCCGGAAUCAUUGGGCGUAAAGCGCGCGUAGGCGGCCCCGUAAGUCCGCUGUGAAAGUCAAAGGCUCAACCUUUGAAAGCCGGUGGAUACUGUGGGGCUAGAGUCCGGAAGAGGCGAGUGGAAUUCCUGGUGUAGCGGUGGAAUGCGCAGAUAUCAGGAGGAACACCGGUGGCGAAGGCGGCUUUCUGGACGACAACUGACGCUGAGACGCGAAAGCGUGGGGAGCAAACAGG
rnacentral:rRNA from 1 species